GCUCCCCUAGUAUAUCCAUUACAAUUGACUUCCAAUCUCUUAAAUCUGGUAUAACCCCAGACAGGAGCA
rnacentral:tRNA from 1 species